UUAACAAAAAUGGGUGAAAACUACUCAAGCAUGCUCAUUUGCUAUUCCAGCGUACACUGUGGACUGCUCUUAUAUAUAAAGGUUUAUACAUUUGGUGCAGGCGGAAUCAGUGGAUAAUUUUCUACAGUCAUUGGGUCUUGAGAAGUAUGCUAUUACAUUUCAAGCUGAAGAAGUUGAUAUGGCUGCUCUUGUGCACAUGACAGAUGAAGAUCUCAAAGCUAUAGGAAUACCAAUGGGUCCAAGGAAGAAGAUAAUAUUAGCACUGGAGACUAGAAU